AAACAAAUUAUUAUCUCAUUGCUUUUGAUUAGUGUGGUUGUGAUAACAAUAAAAUUUACAUGUGUGUACGGUCGGUUACCGGAUUUCAGGUUUCAAUCUCAGUUCACCUUUGAUCAUUUUCUGAAGCAAAGUAAAACAUGGAAGUGCUCGAUGUUAUGUGCGUUCUCGCUGACUGUCUGUCUGUCGACGCAAUGGGAGGGGUCAGUGUCACGUCCACUAACUGAGUGGCGUGGAGGAGCUCCACCGCGGCAAUGGCUAAUUGUUGCAGUGUUGGUGUCAUUUAGAUUCGGGUUCAUGGAGAACAUCUGAUGGACAUGCCAAUAGCUCUGAAAUGGAUCAUUGAUCUCAUCUGUAAGGUAAUGGUUUAAAAUUCAAAUAACUCAAGCUUUGUCAGUUUUUUAGUAUUUGCUUUCAGGCAUAGUGCUGAGUUUCAUAUCCAAAAAGAGUUUGAAAGUGUAGUUUUUUUGGUAUUUUCUAUCCAGCAGAGAUGUUUAAACAAUUAUGUUACUUCCAAAUAAUUAUGCAUCGUACUUUGUUUGGUUCGUUCCAACGUGUGUGUGUUUUCACAAUUUUCCUUCUAGAUCAUGGUUUGUUUUGCCCCGAUGUGCAUUUACUUCUACAUAAUGGUGUUCCAAGAAACAGCAAGCUAGCUGCAGGAGAAAAGAUCAAUCUAUGUAGUAUUGUUCAAUGUACUCAAUAGCUUCUUUUUUUAUGAAAUUUAGCAUGCAUCCAAAGAUAGCUUGCCUAUACAUUAUACAGCCUCUAUAUAGGUAUAAAUUAUGCCCUGCCGUGAACCUAUUUUUGUUUUUGCCAUUUUGAAAGAGGUGCAAAACAUCUCAUGUUCUGUAACGGUAUUAGUAAAAAAACAUAUUUGCUCUCCGCAGGAUAUUUUUAUACCAAUGCUUGCUGUAAAUAAGGUCACUAUUGGUUAUAUGACUUCCACUUUCAAAUUUAAUUCACAUGUUGGUGCCAGUUUUGUAUAGUUUUAGACAUGUUCUAUUAUAUCGUUUCUGAAAUCAACUUAUAGAUCAUAUUCUGGCUGCAGUCUUGACCAUGUUUCAUCGCAGGAGACGAUUCUUUCAGUCUAGAGUUGCUUCAUGCUUUUGCUUGCUGGUCACCUGGUCUGUUUGGUUGGUUACCUAUUUUUACUACCCAGCUUUUUAUCCACAGUUGGUACAGAUAUUUUGCCACCUAUAUUUUGGGUCCGAACACACGUAACUAUUUAUAUUUCAGAUUGCAGUACAUGAAAACAACCAUUAAUUGGCGAAGCAGCGAGGUGAAGUUGCGUGCUGACCGACAUGUUAACCUCUUCGUGCCAGGGGCAUUAGCCAGCCGGGAACAAAGCAAAGCAGCGACCAGCAAGGAAAAGAUGCGAGCAAACAGAGGCGGGCAGGGACGUUGGUCGUGAGAUGGAGAUGAGGACUAGGUCCCAGUGGUAUGACAGUAUUUAGCUUCUAUAAGCGGUGUUUUAUUUAUUAUGAGUAAAUAAUAUUAUUUGCUAUGUAGCAUUUCUGCCUACUAUCUAAAACUGAGCUCUCUUUUUUAGUGAAUAUUUUUUAUGGUGUCCAUCCACUGGCAUGCUACGCCUCACAGUGUAGCCUUAUCGCCGAUUUAGACCCAGCUGUUGCAUCGCCAUUCUUGAUGUGGUCACCUCACAUGGUUCAUUUCUCUCUCACUCGCGAUUUUCGGCGGUGUCUCGCAACAUAAAAGACUAUUGUAUAAAGAUCUUCAAGUUCUAAAUUAGUUUUGCAGUUUAUUUUUGUCUCGAAUAAGUACUAGACACAUGUUAUUUUGUAUAUUGAGGUAUUUAUCAUGCUUUUGUAUGGUUAGCGACUCAUAUAUAGUCUUUUCAUCAACUAAGGUGGUUCAAUUUGUUACCCGUUUUUUCGUGAGAGGACGUUGUUGAUUUCUUACUGCUAUAUUCAGAAGAGUAUAUAGGCCAGUAAAUUCAGCUGCAAAUUAAGAUAGUAACUUCAUGUUAAUAUUACCGUGUUUUUGGUUAAACUGCUUUUUUGAGAAUUCCUCUAUGAUAGAUUAUAUUAGUUCAGCAAACAAAAUGAAAACAUACACAUACCAUGAUGGUUCUAUUGUCUGCCUCACCACUUGACCUCCUGUAUAUUGAUUUUCUCAUUGACAUUCUUUUGCUAUGUAUUUUUAUUUUGUUGCCAAUUUGUUUUGUAUUAUUUUGUUUGUGAAAGACCAGCCUCGUGUCUUUAGGUUCGACCUUUAUCUGAGACUCAUGGAGAUGUUCUUGAAGUUGGUUUGACCAGGGAUAGGAAAACGGUGAACAACAAGGGUGACACCAUUUUGAUAUCUUACAAAUUAACUGACACAAUCAACCCAGAAACAGGAAUGUUUAUAACAAAUCAGCAGAGGAAAAUGUACCAAUCCGAAUGAUGCCGUGGCCUCCAUGCUACCGGUCAAGAUGACCGUGACUGUCACCUCGAUGGCCACCGCCGGUAGAGCACAGAAGCCCUGCUGAACCUGCCCCGUCUGCUUGACGGUUAAGAACUCCUCCAGCGCCUGCAAGUUCACACCGGAGAAGAAUGGGUGUGUUGCAUGAGUACACCCUGGCCACACCGUCGUCGGUGUCCACCACGCACAUAUGCUGCAGGGGAACAAGAAGCACCUCUCUCCUUGAUGGAUCUUUUUUCUCUGUGUUGUUGCUCCACUUGAAGUACUCCGUCUAGGCAAGUAUGCUCAGAGUAGCAACGAGAUCUGGUGCCAAACCGCGCGCAUGUGCUCAGUGAGGCAGAGCAAGGGGUUCUGAUGGCUAACCGCACCAUGCACGGAGGCUGGCGGUGGCCAUGUCUCUAUUCCAAGCUGGGGUGGAGAUGGAGCACUGCCGAAAUAGCACAGGGGAAUCCUGGAACAUGGAUCUUGUCCUUUUGCUUGAGAGAGAGAAAUGAGAGGAAAUGGAAGGUAGGUGGGGAGAGAAAACAAAGGAAGAGGAAUCUUUUGUACUAAACUAUCUGAAUACUGAUAUAGAUUUUUGCAUUGAUGCCAGUGAAUUAUGGAAGAACAAAUGGAACCAAUUCACCACUGGGUUUCUUUUACCCAUUUUUACUUGCAUGUUGGAGUGUUUACAGGUAGCAGUUAAGAUGACUUUAGAUCUCAAUUGUAACAAAAGGCCACCCAAUACAGUUUGUUGCAUGCAGAAUUUACAUUAAAGGUGAUUUUUCACAUCCUCUUGUAUACAUAAUUAUUAAACUUUGCUCAGUUUUCCCUAAAAUUUUAAACUUCUGAGAUUGCCCUUUUUCAAUGUUCUAAUUAACAAUCGUUAUCUGUUCGUAAUUUCCUGGUGUUCGCUAUGAUUCGUAAAAUCUAAAAAAAUAUUACCGGUCCCGCAUAUGUACACGGUCUCAUGGGAUAGCCUUUUAGCAUUGUGUGUUACAGGUAUUAUCUUCCUUUUAGCACUAGCAGUUACAUCUAUUUUUUAUCUUCCAGUAUGUUGGCAAAAUAUUUUCAUUCGUAGAUGCAUUUUAAAGUGAUGCUUGAACGAUCAGAGACAGUAUUGGUACAUGUUAGCCUUUUAGCAUUGUGUGUUACAACUAUUAUCAAUUGUCUUUCUAUGUGGAUUAACUUUGAUGCUAGCCUUAUGCAUUUUCCCAUACCACAUAAAUAUUUUGAGACAGUACUAAUUUUAAAUCUUGCAUCUGCCACAAAUAGUUCCUAUAAAUUGUAAUAUUUUAGGAAGUUGGUGUGCUCAUCUCUUGUUUCAUGUGCUCAUCUUUUCAACUACCACUAAAAGUUAUUUAAUGAUUUAAAGGUUUAUUUAUUAUUUGGCUGGUAUUUUGUGGUUCAACUGGACUUACUCAUAUCCAAUUUCGCUUAGUGGUAGUUGAAAAGAUUUUUACCCUGGCCUUGGAUUCGCCUUCUCGGUGAGCGUGGCGGGGGCAACCACAGGCGAGGUGACAUUGGAGUCGUCACCUCUGGUCAAGUCAUACGGGACCAGGAAGCGGGAAUAUGCUACAAUGGCCUUAUAAUCCUGAACAGAGAAACUGGAUGAUUGAUGACAGUGAUAACCAGAUUAGAAACUUAGCGAGAAGCCGAAAGCUGAUACCAGAGCUUUGACAUGUGUGUGCAGCAAAAAAUCCCGUUUUUACACGCCAUGUGCUUUCACCCUGGCUGCUUAGUAUGUUAGAUUUAUUUAUGUGUAAUGGCUUCAGUUAAGUUUUUUUGGUUGCUUCUAACACUGAUGUCACCCUUCUGAAUUGAAAACCCUAUCAGAACCAUACAAUGUUAGUUAUUGUAUAAUAUAUUUCCGUACUUUGCUGCUUGUAUAUAAGUGUUUGUACUUCGCUUACCAUUUUGUGUACUCUAUUCUAAUUUCAACUAUUAGGCAUGUUGUUUGGCAUUG